rnacentral:rRNA from 1 species
AGAGUUUGAUCCUGGCUCAGGAUGAACGCUGGCGGCGUGCCUAACACAUGCAAGUCGAACGAAGCGCCUUUUGAGAUUCUUCGGAUGAUUGAUUGGUGACUGAGUGGCGGACGGGUGAGUAACGCGUGGGUAACCUGCCCUGUACAGGGGGAUAACAGCUGGAAACGGCUGCUAAUACCGCAUAAGCGCACGAGGAGACAUCUCCUAGUGUGAAAAACUCCGGUGGUACAGGAUGGGCCCGCGUCUGAUUAGCUGGUUGGCAGGGUAACGGCCUACCAAGGCAACGAUCAGUAGCCGGUCUGAGAGGAUGAACGGCCACAUUGGAACUGAGACACGGUCCAAACUCCUACGGGAGGCAGCAGUGGGGAAUAUUGCACAAUGGGGGAAACCCUGAUGCAGCAACGCCGCGUGAGUGAAGAAGUAUUUCGGUAUGUAAAGCUCUAUCAGCAGGGAAGAUAAUGACGGUACCUGACUAAGAAGCUCCGGCUAAAUACGUGCCAGCAGCCGCGGUAAUACGUAUGGAGCAAGCGUUAUCCGGAUUUACUGGGUGUAAAGGGUGCGUAGGUGGCAGUGCAAGUCAGAUGUGAAAGGCCGGGGCUCAACCCCGGAGCUGCAUUUUGAAACUGCAUAGCUGGAGUACAGGAGAGGCAGGCGGAAUUCCUAGUGUAGCGGUGAAAUGCGUAGAUAUUAGGAGGAACACCAGUGGCGAAGGCGGCCUGCUGGACUGUUACUGACACUGAGGCACGAAAGCGUGGGGAGCAAACAGGAUUAGAUACCCUGGUAGUCCACGCCGUAAACGAU